rnacentral:rRNA from 1 species
UGAAAAUGCGUAGAUAUAUGGAAGAACAUCAGUGGCGAAGGCGGCUGUCUGGUCUGUAACUGACGCUGAGGCUCGAAAGCAUGGGUAGCGAACAGGAUUAGAUACCCUGGUAGUCCAUGCCGUAAACGAUGAUUACUAAGUGUUGGAGGGUUUCCGCCCUUCAGUGCUGCAGCUAACGCAUUAAGUAAUCCGCCUGGGGAGUACGACCGCAAGGUUGAAACUCAAAAGAAUUGACGGGGGCCCGCACAAGCGGUGGAGCAUGUGGUUUAAUUCGAAGCUACGCGAAGAACCUUACCAGGUCUUGACAUCUUCUGCCAACCUAAGAGAUUAGGCGUUCCCUUCGGGGACAGAAUGACAGGUGGUGCAUGGUUGUCGUCAGCUCGUGUCGUGAGAUGUUGGGUUAAGUCCCGCAACGAGCGCAACCCUUAUUACUAGUUGCCAGCAUUCAGUUGGGCACUCUAGUGAGACUGCCGGUGACAAACCGGAGGAAGGUGGGGACGACGUCAAAUCAUCAUGCCCCUUAUGACCUGGGCUACACACGUGCUACAAUGGAUGGUACAACGAGUCGCGAAACCGCGAGGUUUAGCUAAUCUCUUAAAACCAUUCUCAGUUCGGACUGUAGGCUGCAACUCGCCUACACGAAGUCGGAAUCGCUAGUAAUCGCGGAUCAGCAUGCCGCGGUGAAUACGUUCCCGGGCCUUGUACACACCGCCCGUCACACCAUGAGAGUUUGUAACACCCAAAGCCGGUGGGGUA